rnacentral:rRNA from 1 species
UACGGGGGGGGCAAGCGUUGUUCGGAAUUACUGGGCGUAAAGGGCGCGUAGGCGGCCUUCUAAGUCGAACGUGAAAUCCCCGGGCUCAACCCGGGAACUGCGUCCGAGACUGAAAGGCUUGAAUCCGGGAGAGGGAUGUGGAAUUCCAGGUGUAGCGGUGAAAUGCGUAGAUAUCUGGAGGAACAUCGGUGGCGAAGGCGGCAUCCUGGACCGGUAUUGACGCUGAGGCGCGAAAGCCAGGGGAGCCAAAGCGGG